rnacentral:rRNA from 1 species
AACGGUCUUUUAGGAGACAGUGGCGGACGGGUGAGUAACGCGUAAGAAUCUACCUUCAGGUUGGGGACAACCACUGGAAACGGUGGCUAAUGCCGAAUGUGCCGAGAGGUGAAAGGCUUGCUGCCUGAAGAAGAGCUUGCGUCUGAUUAGCUAGUUGGUAGUGUAAGAGACUACCAAGGCGACGAUCAGUAGCUGGUCUGAGAGGAUGAUCAGCCACACUGGGACUGAGACACGGCCCAGACUCCUACGGGAGGCAGCAGUGGGGAAUUUUCCGCAAUGGGCGAAAGCCUGACGGAGCAAUACCGCGUGAGGGAGGAAGGCUCUUGGGUUGUAAACCUCUUUUCUCAGGGAAGAACAGAAUGACGGUACCUGAGGAAUAAGCAUCGGCUAACUCCGUGCCAGCAGCCGCGGUAAUACGGAGGAUGCAAGCGUUAUCCGGAAUGAUUGGGCGUAAAGGGUCCGCAGGUGGCAUUGUAAGUCUGCUGUUAAAGAGUUUGGCUCAACCAAAUAAGAGCAGUGGAAACUACAAAGCUAGAGUGUGGUCGGGGCAGAGGGAAUUCCUGGUGUAGCGGUGAAAUGCGUAGAUAUCAGGAAGAACACCAGUGGCGAAGGCGCUCUGCUAGGCCGAGACUGACACUGAGGGACGAAAGCUAGGGGAGCGAAUGGGAUUAGAUACCCCAGUAGUCCUAGCCGUAAACGAUGGAUACUAGGCGUAGCUCGUAUCGACCCGAGCUGUGCCGAAGCUAACGCGUUA